CCAGAUUGACUUAGUAGUGUAUGAGGGUCUUCGCAGCGCCUUUAGUGCUGAAGUUAACGCAUUAAGUACUCCGCCUGGGGAGUACGGCCGCAAGGCUGAAACUCAAAGGAAUUGACGGGGGCCCGCACAAGCGGUGGAGCAGGUGGUUUAAUUCGAAGCAACGCGAAGAACCUUACCAGGUCUUGACAUCCUCUGACUACCCUAAAGAUAGGGGUUCUCCUUCGGGAGCACAGAGACAGGUGGUGCAUGGUUGUCGUCAGCUCGUGUCGUGAGAUGUUGGGUUAAGUCCCGCAACGAGCGCAACCCUUGAUCUUAGUUGCCAUCAUUUAGUUGGGCACUCUAAGGUGAAUGCCGGUGACAAACCGGAGGAAGGUGGGGAUGACGUCAAAUCAUCAUGCCCCUUAUGACCUGGGCUACACACGUGCUACAAUGGACGGUACAAAGAGCUGCAAGACCGCGAGGUGGAGCUAAUCUCAUAAAACCGUUCUCAGUUCGGAUUGUAGGCUGCAACUCGCCUACAUGAAGCUGGAAUCGCUAGUAAUCGCGGAUCAGAAUGCCGCGGUGAAUACGUUCCCGGGCCUUGUACACACCGCCCGUCACACCACGAGAGUGUGUAGCACCCGAAGUCGGUGGGGUAACCUUUUGGAAGCCGCUCACCAAUGGGGGAAUCAAGAAUGGGGUGAAACCAAAAGGGAAAAAAACAUUUUUUG
rnacentral:rRNA from 1 species